rnacentral:rRNA from 1 species
UACGUAGGGGGCUAGCGUUGUCCGGAAUCAUUGGGCGUAAAGCGCGCGUAGGCUGUCAGGUAAGUCUGGUGUGAAAGUCAUAGGCUCAACCUAUGAAUGCCGCUGGAAACUGCUUGGCUUGAGUCCGGAAGGGGCGAGUGGAAUUCCUGGUGUAGCGGUGAAAUGCGCAGAUAUCAGGAGGAACACCAAUGGCGAAGGCAGCACUCUGGGACGGUACUGGACGCUGAGACGCGAAAGCGUGGGGAGCAAACAGG